ACCGACAUUACAUAUUUAUUUUCAACAGAGCAACAUUCCAUUUUUGGCAAACGGAGUAUUCAGAAUCUGCCAAAUCAAUAUGAACUCAAUAACAAACUGCUUGAAACAUCCUGCAACUACAUAACUAAGUGUUUAGUCCAUUCAACUCAAGUAUCUCCCUAUAACCAGUUAUUCAUCAUGCUUCCUACAAUCGUAAGAUAAACCUUCUGAAAUCGUAAUUUAUGAUAUUCGCUUUGCAGCAAGAUACAGAAGAGUGAUGAAUGACAACAGACUAACAAAGAGGGCCGGGUCAAGAAAUAUAGAAGAUAAUGCACAGCGGUAUUAUACAACAAGGAGAAAAACAAAAUCUGCACUUCACCCAUGUCCUAGAUGAAAAUCUGCACUUCACACAU
rnacentral:lncRNA from 1 species